rnacentral:rRNA from 1 species
UUAAGCGACUAAGCGUACACGGUGGAUGCCCUGGCAGUCAGAGGCGAUGAAGGACGUGCUAAUCUGCGAUAAGCGUCGGUGAGGUGAUAUGAACCGUUAUAACCGGCGAUUUCCGAAUGGGGAAACCCAGUGUGUUUCGACACACUAUCAUUAACUGAAUCCAUAGGUUAAUGAGGCGAACCGGGGGAACUGAAACAUCUAAGUACCCCGAGGAAAAGAAAUCAACCGAGAUUCCCCCAGUAGCGGCGAGCGAACGGGGAGGAGCCCAGAGCCUGAAUCAGUGUGUGUGUUAGUGGAAGCGUCUGGAAAGGCGUGCGAUACAGGGUGACAGCCCCGUACACAAAAAUGCACAUAUUGUGAGCUCGAUGAGUAGGGCGGGACACGUGGUAUCCUGUCUGAAUAUGGGGGGACCAUCCUCCAAGGCUAAAUACUCCUGACUGACCGAUAGUGAACCAGUACCGUGAGGGAAAGGCGAAAAGAACCCCGGCGAGGGGAGUGAAAAAGAACCUGAAACCGUGUACGUACAAGCAGUGGGAGCCUCUUAAUGGGGUGACUGCGUACCUUUUGUAUAAUGGGUCAGCGACUUAUAUUCUGUAGCAAGGUUAACCGAAUAGGGGAGCCGAAGGGAAACCGAGUCUUAACUGGGCGUUAAGUUGCAGGGUAUAGACCCGAAACCCGGUGAUCUAGCCAUGGGCAGGUUGAAGGUUGGGUAACACUAACUGGAGGACCGAACCGACUAAUGUUGAAAAAUUAGCGGAUGACUUGUGGCUGGGGGUGAAAGGCCAAUCAAACCGGGAGAUAGCUGGUUCUCCCCGAAAGCUAUUUAGGUAGCGCCUCGUGAAUUCAUCUCCGGGGGUAGAGCACUGUUUCGGCAAGGGGGUCAUCCCGACUUACCAACCCGAUGCAAACUGCGAAUACCGGAGAAUGUUAUCACGGGAGACACACGGCGGGUGCUAACGUCCGUCGUGAAGAGGGAAACAACCCAGACCGCCAGCUAAGGUCCCAAAGUCAUGGUUAAGUGGGAAACGAUGUGGGAAGGCCCAGACAGCCAGGAUGUUGGCUUAGAAGCAGCCAUCAUUUAAAGAAAGCGUAAUAGCUCACUGGUCGAGUCGGCCUGCGCGGAAGAUGUAACGGGGCUAAACCAUGCACCGAAGCUGCGGCAGCGACACUAUGUGUUGUUGGGUAGGGGAGCGUUCUGUAAGCCUGUGAAGGUGGCCUGUGAGGGUUGCUGGAGGUAUCAGAAGUGCGAAUGCUGACAUAAGUAACGAUAAAGCGGGUGAAAAGCCCGCUCGCCGGAAGACCAAGGGUUCCUGUCCAACGUUAAUCGGGGCAGGGUGAGUCGACCCCUAAGGCGAGGCCGAAAGGCGUAGUCGAUGGGAAACAGGUUAAUAUUCCUGUACUUGGUGUUACUGCGAAGGGGGGACGGAGAAGGCUAUGUUGGCCGGGCGACGGUUGUCCCGGUUUAAGCGUGUAGGCUGGUUUUCCAGGCAAAUCCGGAAAACCAAGGCUGAGGCGUGAUGACGAGGCACUACGGUGCUGAAGCGACAAAUGCCCUGCUUCCAGGAAAAGCCUCUAAGCAUCAGGUAACAUCAAAUCGUACCCCAAACCGACACAGGUGGUCAGGUAGAGAAUACCAAGGCGCUUGAGAGAACUCGGGUGAAGGAACUAGGCAAAAUGGUGCCGUAACUUCGGGAGAAGGCACGCUGAUAUGUAGGUGAAGCGACUUGCUCGUGGAGCUGAAAUCAGUCGAAGAUACCAGCUGGCUGCAACUGUUUAUUAAAAACACAGCACUGUGCAAACACGAAAGUGGACGUAUACGGUGUGACGCCUGCCCGGUGCCGGAAGGUUAAUUGAUGGGGUUAGCGGUAACGCGAAGCUCUUGAUCGAAGCCCCGGUAAACGGCGGCCGUAACUAUAACGGUCCUAAGGUAGCGAAAUUCCUUGUCGGGUAAGUUCCGACCUGCACGAAUGGCGUAAUGAUGGCCAGGCUGUCUCCACCCGAGACUCAGUGAAAUUGAACUCGCUGUGAAGAUGCAGUGUACCCGCGGCAAGACGGAAAGACCCCGUGAACCUUUACUAUAGCUUGACACUGAACAUUGAGCCUUGAUGUGUAGGAUAGGUGGGAGGCUUUGAAGUGUGGACGCCAGUCUGCAUGGAGCCGACCUUGAAAUACCACCCUUUAAUGUUUGAUGUUCUAACGU